rnacentral:rRNA from 1 species
GCUUGUCUCAAAGAUUAAGCCAUGCAUGUCUAAGUAUAAGCAAUUAUACAGCGAAACUUGCGAAUGGCUCAUUAUAUAAGUUAUCGUUUAUUUGAUAGUACCUUACUACUUGGAUAACCGUGGUAAUUCUAGAGCUAAUACAUGCUAAAAAUCCCGACUUCGGAAGGGAUGUAUUUAUUAGAUUAAAAACCAAUGCCCUCUGGGCUCCUUGGUGAUUCAUAAUAACUUUUCGAAUCGCAUGGCCUUGUGCCGGCGAUGGUUCAUUCAAAUUUCUUCCCUAUCAACUUUCGAUGUUUGGGUAUUGGCCAAACAUGGUCGCAACGGGUAACGGAGGGUUAGGGCUCGACCCCGGAGAAGGAGCCUGAGAAACGGCUACUACAUCCAAGGAAGGCAGCAGGCGCGCAAAUUACCCAAUCCCGAUUCGGGGAGGUAGUGACAAUAAAUACUGAUACAGGGCUCUUUUGGGUCUUGUAAUUGGAAUGAGUACAAUUUAAAUCUCUUAACGAGGAACAAUUGGAGGGCAA